rnacentral:lncRNA from 1 species
AGCUGGGCUCCAGAGUGCCGCUCCUUAUCAGCAAGGUCCCUCUGCGCUGGGGACGCUGCUACCCACAUUCCCCUCCCACACACGCUCGCCCUCACCCCAGGCCCCCACACUGUUCCCCCAGCAGCCACUGGGCAUAGGCAAGGAGAGCUGGGAGCAGCCAUUCUGCUUCGCGGGCCAGUGGAGAGAGAGAGGGCUCUUCUGGCCAGCCCCAUGAGGGAGACCCAAGCCACAGGCCUCAGACCACUCAGCCACGAGUCAUCUGAAUCCAGUGGCAAGAGGAAAGUCAGGAGGCCUGGUGAUGGUCCAGGACACAAUGGAAGACCUUGGCAUUCUCCAUGUUAGAUAGACCAAGCCCUACUGCACAGGGCUGCUUCUGCCACCUUCGUGGCCACCCCUCGGCCCACUUUCUGGCUCGCCAAGUAGGCAUAAAGAUUCCCCAAGGCUCCAUCUUCAAGGUGACCCUGUUUUCUGUAGGUACUCAUUUCCUCCUACCAGUCUGAAGAUCUUCAAUGGGUCCCCCCAUUCCUUGGGAUCGUAGGAUGUUGGGCCCCUGUCCUGCCACCUCCCGAACUAGCAAUAGCUUCCCAGCUUACCGCAAGUGCUCUGUCUUCCU